rnacentral:ncRNA from 1 species
UACUUGGCGUUGAAAAGGAAUAUUAGAUGAAAAACUAAAUUUACAGAGAGCGGAUGUUGCUGGAAAAUCCGUAUUUUAGAUUGUCGAACCCGCCUUGGAGCCGCAUGGAAACAUGCCGCAGCUUUGCGUUAUAAAGAUGAGCAGAACACAUUUAAGUGUUAAUUAAGGUGGUACCGCGGAUAAUCUUCCGUCCUUUGU